rnacentral:rRNA from 1 species
AUUGAACGCUGGCGGCAUGCCUUACACAUGCAAGUCGAACGGCAGCGGACCUUCGGGUGUCGGCGAGUGGCGAACGGGUGAGUAAUAUAUCGGAACGUACCUUUCAGUGGGGGAUAACGUAGCGAAAGUUACGCUAAUACCGCAUAUUCUGUGAGCAGGAAAGCAGGGGAUCGCAAGACCUUGCGCUGAUUGAGCGGCCGAUAUCAGAUUAGCUAGUUGGUGAGGUAAAGGCUCACCAAGGCGACGAUCUGUAGCGGGUCUGAGAGGAUGAUCCGCCACACUGGAACUGAGACACGGUCCAGACUCCUACGGGAGGCAGCAGUGGGGAAUUUUGGACAAUGGGCGCAAGCCUGAUCCAGCCAUGCCGCGUGAGUGAAGAAGGCCUCGGUU